GAUGAACGCUGGCGGCGUGCCUAAUACAUGCAAGUCGAGCGAACGGACGAGAAGCUUGCUUCUCUGAUGUUAGCGGCGGACGGGUGAGUAACACGUGGAUAACCUACCUAUAAGACUGGGAUAACUUCGGGAAACCGGAGCUAAUACCGGAUGAUAUUUUGAACCGCAUGGUUCAAAAGUGAAAGACGGUCUUGCUGUCACUUAUAGAUGGAUCCGCGCUGCAUUAGCUAGUUGGUAAGGUAACGGCUUACCAAGGCAACGAUGCAUAGCCGACCUGAGAGGGUGAUCGGCCACACUGGAGCUGAGACACGGUCCAGACUCCUACGGGAGGCAGCAGUAGGGAAUCUUCCGCAAUGGGCGAAAGCCUGACGGAGCAACGCCGAGUGAGUGAUGAAGGUCUUCGGAUCGUAAAACUCUGUUAUUAGGGAAGAACAUAUGUGUAAGUAACUGUGCACAUCUUGACGGUACCUAAUCAGAAAGCCACGGCUAACUACGUG
rnacentral:rRNA from 1 species